rnacentral:rRNA from 1 species
GGAGGGUGCAAGUGUUAUCCGGGAUUUAUUGGGGUUUAAAGGGGUACGUAGGCGGCAGGGUAAGUCAGUGGUGAAAGCCAGCAGCUCAACUGUUGAAUUGCCAUUGAUACUGCUUUGCUUGAGUGCAGUCGAGGUAGGCGGAAUUCUGCAUGUAGCGGUGAAAUGCAUAGAUAUGUGGAGGAACGCCGAUAACGAAGGUAGCUUACUAGGCUGUUACUGACGCUGAGGUACGAAAGCGUGGGGAGCGAACGGGAUUAGAGACCCCGGUAGUCCACGCCGUAAACGAUGGUCGCUCGAUAUAUAUUCUUCGGAGUAUGUGUCUAAGCGAAAGCGUUAAGUGACCCACCUGGGGAGUACGCUCGCAAAGAGUG